GCACUUCGUCUUGUCUUAUUUUCUUUUUUUUUAAUGUCUCCACUUUUGCAUGCCAUGGAUUUAAAAAAAAAAAAAAAACUUUUGUAUCUGUUUGUAUGAACUUUUUAAGAUAAAAAUAUUAUUUAUGAACUAUGAAUAACUAGCCUAUAAAACAGGUUUUAGAUUGUAUUCAGAAAAAACACUCAGUAUUUUAGGCUUCAUUAUAAUAUUAAUGAUUUUAACUUACAAUUUAUGUCAUGGUCCACUUAGUAUGUGGCAAAAUGUCAAUGAGAUGUGAUGAGUAUUAAAUCUAUAGCUGGAACAAUAUGGAACAGCGAGUCAGGUAGACUCACACCUGGCCCACAGUUUGAGCCCAACAGGAAAUGCUGUUAACCCCCGAUGACCGUCCAUGAUAAAUGUCAACUGAAGUGUUGGUGUUAAAAAGUAAGCUAUAGGCUCUUUAUUUCCCAUCACUUCAGCUUCAAUACUACGUCUGUGUCUACACAGGAUGCGCACAGGCACUGUAUCUACGUUGGCAGUAAAAUGUCCCUUUCAAAGAUAUAUUUUUUGUUGUGAUUAAUUUUUUGACUCAUAAAAGCGCUCUCUCUGUGCCGGCAGAUUGCAGCCCAACUUCAACGUCUUAACGAAAAACUUAAGUCGCCAAAACCCACGUGUAGCCGCUGGUCCCUUUUUAUUGUCACAAGCCAGGUCACUUGAUUGCUGUUUGCUGGCUCUUAAAAGAAAAGGACAACCAAAUGAAACAACACUUAUGAUGGCGGCAGGGAUUCCAACAAUCCCACAAGGUCAACAAGGGCAUGUUGAAUGACUAAUAAAACGUGCCCAUGGGUAGACCAAAAAGUUCUUGGACUCUCUUGAGUGCUGCUGAAAAGCAGCAGCGCUACCGUGCCAGGUGUGAUGCUGAUGAACAGAGGAGACAGCAGUCCUUAGAAAAAGAGAGACAAGUGGAGGAAAUAUGUAAUAACAGGGAAGAAGAAAAGGCAAAAAGAUUGCAGUGUGAGAGUGCAGCGUGCCCAGCGAAAAAGUGGAAAGAGGCACAUAAGAGGAGUAAUGCCAGGAAAAAGGUACUUGAAGGAUUAAACACCACUCCAGUUGGCCCUGGCUCCACCAGGGGGUCACUCUAUCAACUGGGAAAAUUGUCUACCGCGACGUCAGCUGCAUGUGCUCUGCAACAGAGAAUCUGGAGUGUGAUUGCCAAAAAAACAAGCGCUUUAGCUUUAAUCCCACAGAUGACCACACAGAAGACCCCAUACACAGCACACCAGAAGAAGUGCAGUGGCACAGUCCAUAGGUUGUCUUUUUUUUUCUGGCCUCCAUCAGAGAACAUUGCCUCACACCACAUAGCCAUUACAAGAGAGAUAUGGGAUACUCUGGCCAGCCACGAAAAUGAAAUCUGAACAUUAUAACAUCAGCUUUCUAAAAUGAUGAUCAGUUCAUGACUAUUUUUAGUAUGCUCAUUCAUUUUAAUGCCAGGUUGUUGGCCUACUGUAAUAUGACUAUUUUGUAUUUGCUUGUCCAUUGAAUAUUUGAUCAGAUCCAGUUUGUGGUCUUGUUGACAUGUUUUUUUUUAUCAUUCCUACUCCUACAUCCUGUUGAUCCUUAAUCGAAAAGAUAUAUAAAAUAUUAUUAAACAAUAUUCCUGUGAAA